GUCACUUGCUACUACUUUCAUUACAAGAACAGUCACUAGCUGAGCAAAAAGAAUUACAGAUGGAAGAAUUGAUACGUUCAUGUAACAAACUUAUCAAACUCAUAUAGUGUUAAUGUUGCUGUCACGUAACAAUUAAUAUUGUUGCUGAAAACAUGAAAACAAAAAAGACUAAAUGCAUUGAAUCAGUAGCAACAAUGGCAAAGGUUACCUCUCUAUGGUGUUUAUGAGUUCGUCGGAGUCCGCCUACUUGGUGACUUUUU
rnacentral:lncRNA from 1 species